GGACAGGAGGGUGAUUGCUCACCAGAAUGAUUGACCAGGUUGACUUGGGUCAUCUGGCUGGCUCAGUGGGUGUCCCCUUCCUCUGUCACCACUCCAUGUGUUCAUGGAAGGAUGGACUCCCCAAAAGAUAAAGGAGAUUAAGGCUGAUCAUUUCUUAGUCAAGGGCACACGAGUAGCUGGGCUCCCCUGCUGUUGAUAGAACUCCAAAGGAUCGUUCAAGGCCCAAUUGUAGGAGGAUGGAGGUGGGGCUUCUAAGACUCCAGAUACAUUUGAAUGAGGUGCUGCACGCAGCAAGAUACCUUUCUUG
rnacentral:snRNA from 1 species